AAGCGUUUUCUUGGGCUCGCGGCCGGUAGAAGUUCUCUGGAACAGGACAUCAUAGAGGGUGACAAUCCCGUCCGUGACCGGUCGUGCGUUCAUCUACGAUACGCUUUCAAAGAGUCGAGUUGUUUGGGAUUGCAGCUCCAAAUGGGUGGUAAACAUCACCUAAGGCUAAAUAUUGGCGAGAGACCGAUAGCGAACAAGUACCGUGAGGGAAAGAUGAAAAGAACUUUGAAAAGAGAGUUAAACAGUACGUGAAAUUGUUGAAAGGGAAACGAUUGAAGUCAGUCGUGCUGGCGCGAAAUCAACCAUCUCGUCUUGAGGUCGCAUGGCGCGACGAGCCUCAAAACCGUCACGGAGUGUGAACUCUUGACGAAAAGGUGCACUUUCGUGUCCGCUGGUUAACAUCAAUUUCGACCGUCAUAAAAAGGCUGGAGGGAUGUGGCUCCUUCGGGAGUGUUAUAACCUUUAGCGGAAUGUGGUGUUCGGAAUUGAGGAUUGCAACGAAUACCUUCAGGGCUGUUCCACCUGGCUUCUCAUUGGUAUCCUGGUGACGACAGCUUGC
rnacentral:rRNA from 1 species